ACAGCCACAUCACAUUGAAACACUUGUUCUGGUACGAUCACUGAAGUUAAGCAAUGUCAGGCCAUGUCAGUAGCUAGAUGGGCAACCACUUGGGAAUACCAGGUGCUGUAAG